UACGGAGGGUGCGAGCGUUGUCCGGAAUUACUGGGCGUAAAGUGUGCGCAGGCGGCCGAGUAAGUCGAGUGUGAAAGCCCCGAGCUUAACUUGGGAACUGCGCUCGAAACUACUUGGCUAGAGUGUGGCAGAGGGAGGUGGAAUUCCACGUGUAGCGGUGAAAUGCGUAGAGAUGUGGAGGAACACCGAUGGCGAAGGCAGCCUCCUGGGCCAACACUGACGCUCAUGCACGAAAGCGUGGGGAGCAAACAGG
rnacentral:rRNA from 1 species